GUUAAUUAUCAAUACAGGUCCUAUCGUGUCAGCAUGUUACAAAAGCUGAGGACAGUAACAGAAAUACAGCUGGGAGUUUCUCAUGAGAAAAUAGAAA